AUGCUUCUCUUAAAGACUAAGCCAUGCAUGCCUUUGAAUAGGAAGAAGCAAUUCUCUCUGAAUCUGCGAACGGCUCCGCACACCAGUUGUAAACUACUGCAAGCACGCCUUGUCUGCUUUAAUUAGCGGCUCGGCCAAACGGAUAUCCCUGGUAAUUCUGAGGCUAAUACGAGAACGUACAGCUCUUUCGACUGCAAAGAAGGAAGGGAGGUGUGUGAUCAAGCAUGAAGAAAAGCUAGGAGAAGUCGCACGCCUGGACUGCGUAAAAAACGAUCGGGAUUCCUCGCGUCUCUCGUUCGAGCAGCUCUUGCAUUGUGCUUCUGACCUAUCAACUAAACGACAGUGUAAUGUACGUGCAGUGGUUACAACGGGUACAGAGGAUAAGGGUUCGAUCCUGGAGAGUGGGCCUGAGAGAUUGCUCAUACUUCUAAGGAAGGCAGCAGGCGCGCAACGUUCCCCUUGUACAACGUAUGAGGGCGUUAGGAGACAUAUGAAUGUUUGCCUUUUAGGUGAACAAUUCAAAUGAGUUUGUUGUAAACAGGCUC
rnacentral:rRNA from 1 species